UGGGAAGACUUAAGGAUGGAUGAAAUGGAAGCAUCGGAAGAAUGCAACCAAGGAGGAAACAAAUUCAGAGAGGUUAUGUGCCUUGCCCAAAGUAACACAGCCAGAACCGCUAUGCUGAUGCGGAGAAGGCAAUGGAAACCCACUCCAGUACUCUUGCCUGGAAAAUCCCAUUGAUGGAGGAGCCUGGUAGGCUGCAGUCCAUGGGAUCACGAAGAGUCGGACAUGACUGACGCGACGUAGCAGCAGCCAUGCUGAUGUGAUAGAAGCUUCAAGUUUCCUGUGACCUUGCCCCCAUGGCCACCCCACGCACAAAUGCCAUGAAAGGGAAGCCCCACCCCGUUAUAGAGAAGAAUGCGGCCAACAGAGAAGCUGAA
ensembl:lncRNA